GACGAACGCUGGCGGCGUGCUUAACACAUGCCAGUCGAACGGUGAAGGGACCAGCUUGCUGGUUCUGGAUGAGUGGCGAACGGGUGAGUAACACGUGAGUAACCUGCCCCCUUCUUCUGGAUAACCGCAUGAAAGUGUGGCUAAUACGGGAUAUUCUGGGUCUGUCGCAUGGCGGGCCCGGGAAAGAUAUUGCUUCGGUGGGGGAUGGGCUCGCGGCCUAUCAGCUUGUUGGUGGGGUGAUGGCCUACCAAGGCGGUGACGGGUAGCCGGCCUGAGAGGGUGGACGGUCACACUGGGACUGAGACACGGCCCAGACUCCUACGGGAGGCAGCAGUGGGGAAUAUUGCACAAUGGGCGCAAGCCUGAUGCAGCGACGCCGCGUGAGGGAUGGAGGCCUUCGGGUUGUAAACCUCUUUCGCCAGUGAAGCAGGCCUGCUCCUUGUGGGUGGGUUGACGGUAGCUGGAUAAGAAGCGCCGGCUAACUACGU
rnacentral:rRNA from 1 species